GCGAUGGAUGCCAUUUUCGUACUCCCUUGCACAUGGUCAGUGGGGGCGACACCAUGAUGGAUAAUUUGUGGCCAAGUAACGGCAGCUGUUGGUCAGCAGUAAUUGCUGGGGGUAAUUAAGGACAGCUGACAGACAUUCACGCUGUCCUAUGACCUGUUCCACAGUGAAUAACAUUUCCGUACUCCCCUCGCCAUCAUUUCCUACUACGCUGUUAUGACGUGAGUAAGCCCUCUUGUCUCAACCCUCUUUGGCCUAGACUGAUGAGGAGGCAGAGGUAGCCCAAAUGGCGGGAGUUUUUACCUUUUGAAACAGGAAAGCCACCACAGAAUCCUGGGUAUGAUGGUGUGUCUGUAACAGAGGGCCUCACCAGGUGUUCAUAUGGCAGAAUCUGUGAAGAGAGGAGAAAACCAUUUUGCCCAUGGAUGAGAGCAAAAGAUAUUGGCGUGGGGAGAAAGAAGAGUGAAGUCUGAUGACACUUUAUUUACAAGGGAUUGUGUUUGGACUAGCCCGUGGACGGACCUCCUGUUGAGUGGGAUAUGGGACUUCUCCUGCCUCCUACUACGAAAAAUGCACUGGAACGGCAGUCGAAGUGGGACCUCUUACUGGCGAACUGGGGGGACCGCUCAACUCCCACCUCAACAAAAUGAUGUCGGAGGAUAACGACGGCGCCUAUGGAGCCGUUAUUCAAAACGCCAA